AAUGACUGACCGGGAAGCGCGUCCAGGUUAUUGGCCACAACCUGGCUAUUUUUGCAUUCUAAUUUUCGAAAAAGAUGGUGACCAUAUAAAGUUAUUGAUAUAGUUAAUCAGUGACCAGUGCCUUUGUAUCUCAUUCGCUACUUAUCGGACGGGAAAACACGCCAAGUCUUUCGCCACGAACUCGAGCCUGCACAGACUUCCAGGGUGCAGACGACACUUGCAACAGAACAAAGUCAAUGACAACCAACAAGAAGAAAACCACAAUGAGGACCAUGGUCCGGCAGCAAGAAAAAAGUCAUGCAGCGUUGUAUAUUCCACUCCUGAUAAUACGAACAGCCAUGGGGGAGUUGACAGACAGGUUCUUAUGCCAAAACCAUUUAUAAUACAGUUGGCUGACUCUGCAGACCACCUUCAUUCGGAGCCAAUUGCUCCUCAUGUACUGGCAGUGGCAGCAUGGGUAAAGUUGAUGAAAUAACUGGCAGUGAAAUGUCUGAAGAAGAACUUAACCAGUAAGAUGUAGUGAUGGUGUGGCAGAUUGAAGAAAUUGUGUUUGUUGUCCCAUUUUGCAGUUUAUAGAAGUGUAAUGUCAAAAAUGUUUUUUCUUACAUUAAAAUUGUAUGGGUCAUAAAAGUGUUAAACACCAGGGGGCCGUUUCAUAAACGAUCGUUUGACAAUGUUAACUUACGAGAGAAUUUUGUAAUCUUAAUAAGCAGAUGAACUAGCUCACUAUGCUCGUCGAAUAUAUACGGCACUAUAGAUGCCAAUGUAAGUAAUUAAGUACUGAAACUUUAUAAACAUAUGAUUUGAACUUUAGCAAUUAUACAUCUUCGAAAAAGGUAUCGUCUCGUAAAUGUGUAUUACGAUAUUUAUUGAAACGAGCCCCAGAAGACACUCGUGAUUUGAAACCACGCAUCUAAACUUCCGGCCGUGGGUUCUUCGAUUUAAAUUAAGGAAUUUUGACCACACCGAGCUGUUUAGUUUGAAACAACAUGUAUGUAAUAAUAAAUUUGUCCUGGAAUGUCAAAUGUGAAUGAUCUCUUUCAAUGGUAAGUUAACAAAGUAUUGCCCACUGUAGUUAUUGAAUAUUGUUGAAAUAAAUAAACAUACAUUUAUUGAACAAUUUGAGAUACAUAUGCACUGGCCACUGUUUAGCUAUAUCAAUAACUUUAUAUGUGUCACCAUAAUAAAUUUGUCCGGGAAUGUCAAAUGUUAAAGAUCUCGUUCAAUGGUAGGUUAACAAAUUAUUCUAUUUUGUACUGAAAGAAAGAAAACAUUAACAUCCUAUUAAUUGUAUACAUGUAUUGCCUACUGUAGUUAUUGAAUAUCGUUGAAAUAAAUAAACAUAAAUUUA